UGAGUCCGUUAAACAUUUCUACAGCUCUUCCCACUGAUAUGUUAAGGCUGGACAUGGGGCCGAAAUCAUAUAUUGCUUAUGGAAUGAGAGAAGAACUUGGCAGAGGAGAUUCAGUUACCAAGAUUCAUUGUGAUGUUUCAGAUGCAAAACGUUUCUUGUUAAAGUUGAUGCAGUGAGCUAAAUAUUACACACUACAGAAAAACAUCAAUGUGUCUGACAUCCUCCAAUCAAAUAUAACGUUAGAAAAACAUGUGCAAAGAUAAAAUAAGAUGAAAGGAAACCGUCAAGCUCUUCCAAGGAAAAACACAUACAUCUCUCUCUUUCAUCUUGAUCUCUAUGCAACUUCUUGAACUUCUCUAUUGCAUACUUCUGCUCUUCAGUAGGCAAGACCUCUGCAACAUGCGUUAAAACAUUUACAUAUACCAAAAAACUGUAAUUAGCUCGGCGUUAUACUGAUACUUCAACAGUAAAAUGCAACAUUCAACCUGCAAACAAAAAUAAAUAAGCUAACUUGAUUGUCAUUUUUUCUGUUAACUCCCCAUUUAAAAUUUGUCCAUGAGAUGGGUGCAUAUGAACCUUUUUUUUCAUAUAUUUUAUAAUGCAAGCGAUUCCUCAUCCAUGAUCAGGUUUCUUGUUAAAGUUGAUGCAGUGAGCUA